rnacentral:rRNA from 1 species
GUAGGUGGCAAGCGUUGUCCGGAAUUAUUGGGGCGUAAAGCGCGCGCAGGCGGUUCGUUUAAGUCUGAUGUGAAAGCCCACGGGCUCAACCGUGGAGGGUCAUUGGAAACUGGAGAACUUGAGUACAGAAGAGGAAAGCGGAAUUCCACGUGUAGCGGUGAAAUGCGUAGAGAUGUGGAGGAACACCAGUGGCGAAGGCGGCUUUCUGGUCUGUAACUGACGCUGAGGCGCGAAAGCGUGGGGAGCAAACAGGAUUAGAUACCCUGGUAGUCCACGCCGUAAGCGAUGAGUGCUAAGUGUUAGGGGGUUUCCGCCCCUUAGUGCUGCAGCUAACGCAUUAAGCACUCCGCCUGGGGAGUACGGCCGCAAAGGCUG